rnacentral:rRNA from 1 species
CAGUCGCCACGGUAAUACGUAGGGUGCAAGCGUUAAUCGGAAUUACUGGGCGUAAAGCGUGCGCAGGCGGUUUUGUAAGUCUGUCGUGAAAUCCCCGGGCUCAACCUGGGAAUGGCGAUGGAGACUGCAAGGCUAGAAUCUGGCAGAGGGGGGUAGAAUUCCACGUGUAGCGGUGAAAUGCGUAGAGAUCGGGAGGAACAUCAGUGGCGAAGGCGGCCAUCUGGGACAACACUGACGCUGAGGCACGAAAGCGUGGGGAGCAAACAGGAUUAGAUACCCCGGUAGUCCCUGUCUCUUAUAC